rnacentral:rRNA from 1 species
UACGAAGGGGGCUAGCGUUGCUCGGAUUUACUGGGCGUAAAGGGCGCGUAGGCGGACAGUUAAGUUGGGGGUGAAAGCCCGGGGCUCAACCUCGGAACUGCCUUCAAUACUGGCUGUCUUGAGUGUGAGAGAGGUGUGUGGAACUCCGAGUGUAGAGGUGAAAUUCGUAGAUAUUCGGAAGAACACCAGUGGCGAAGGCGACUCACUGGCCCGUUACUGACGCUGAGGCGCGAAAAGCGUGGGGAGCAAAC